rfam:Gossypium arboreum cultivar AKA8401 contig_76069_1, whole genome shotgun sequence.
AAUAGGACAAUGACAAGUUAGAUUUUUCCUCUUAAUUUUCAGGUUUUUCCUUCUGAAAAAAUUCAAAUCCAACUAAAAAUGCUAAAAAUUAGGAGGAAAAAAUCUGAUUUGUCAUUCUCCUAUU